UACGGGGGGGGCAAGCGUUGUUCGGAAUUACUGGGCGUAAAGGGCUCGUAGGUGGCCAACUAAGUCAGACGUGAAAUCCCUCGGCUUAACCGGGGAACUGCGUCUGAUACUGGAUGGCUUGAGUUCGGUAGGGGAGACUGGAAUUCCUGGUGUAGCGGUGAAAUGCGCAGAUAUCAGGAGGAACACCGGUGGCGAAGGCGGGUCUCUGGGCCGAUACUGACGCUGAGGAGCGAAAGCGUGGGGAGCGAACAGG
rnacentral:rRNA from 1 species